UAUGGUCAUACCGCCCUGAACAGGUCCAAUCUCGUCUGAUUUCGGAAACUGAGCAGAGUCAGGCCUGUUAGUACUCUGGGGCUUCCUGGGUGGUGCUAACUGUCAAGAACCCACCUGCCAAUGCAGGAGACAUAA
ensembl:rRNA 5S_rRNA 5S ribosomal RNA